GGAUGGCACAGUUUAAGAAUUUAAUACGAUUAUGUACCUAGUAUUUAGUAUGAUUUAAAUAUGCACUGAGUGGUGGCGUUUGUGGAGGACUGUAGCCAUGGCUCCAUGGUUAGACAAGCUGAUGCUGCUCUUACAGAGGACCUGAGUUCAGUUCUCAGCACUCAGUCAGAUACCUUGCAACCAUCUGUAUCUCUGGCUCCAGGGGCCUCUGUCAUCUCUGGCCUCUGUGGGCACCUGCACACUAUGUGCUCCCCACCCCAUUCGUAUAAAUAAAAAUAAUUUUAAAAAAUGGAUCUUAAAAAAUAUGUGGAAAAAGAUAAAAAUUGGGGUUUGUUAUAUUUUCAUUUUGGGGGGUUAUAAAUUACAUUUAUGGUGUGUGUGUGUGUGUGUGUGUGUGUGUGUGUGUGUGUGUGCCUGCUCAUGUCUCACUGUGUAAUGGAAGUCAGAGAAUGCCUUCCGGGAGGUCUCUCCUACCCUGUGAUCCUGGGCCUGGGCUGGGCUGGGCUGGGGUGCAGGUUGGCGAGCCCAACAAGCCCUCACUUGUUCAGCCAGGUCUCUGGCCCUCAUGUAUUCAUGUGCCAGACUGCCCUUGAACUUAACAGGUCCAUGUGAUCCCCUCCGUCCAUCCUCCUGAUAGCUGGGGCUCUAACAUGUAUCACCCUUCCAGGAGGAACCCCUUGUCUAGGUUAUAUGUAGGUUAUAUGUAGGUUAUAUGUAAUGCUAGGUUAGGGCUCAGACCCAGGGUCUGGCGAACACUUGGCAAGCACUACCACAGGGCAACAUCCCCAGCCCCCUGAACCUCUUGCUUUAAAUGGGGGGACGCUCCUUCAAACCCCAGCCUUUCUGGGGUUUACUUACCUUAGUUUACACCCCAGAUAUGGUCAGUGCGGUCAUCCAGCACCCCAGCUUUCCUCUUCUGCUGUGAGGUGCUUCUCUCUGUCAAGCUGUGGUCUCUUCCUGAAAGAACUUCAGAAUGCUUGUUCUUUGCUUUGUAACUUACGUGAUCCAACUGAAAAGACAAAACAAGACAGAACCCCUCAGUUUUCCAUCACUGGCUGUGAUCUUCGGUUCUUUAAUUGGUCUUAACUGUUUAUGAAUGAAUUCAACUAGUAUUCCUUGUGCCAUGUAUAUGGAAAAAGUAGCAGCUAUUGGUACAAGGAGUGAGGUAUUAUUAUUCUCAGGGUAGACAAACGGUGAAGUUAAAGGAGCAUUUGAAUAGGUGUCCCCUCUGUUUUCAAGACGGACAGAGGACCAGAGGACGGAUGAGCAGCCGAGUUCAUUGCAGUAUGCUCCUUGACCUCAGCACACAGUCUGUUUUCACUGCCUCUCUCCUACCACCUUCCCCUUUUCUUCUCACAAAAAUAACAUUGUGCUCCUGAAACAACUCUGGGAAAAACCAGGAAAUUAUGAAGAAGCAGACGGGAAAAUGUCAUCCAUAAUUCUGCCACCCAGAGUCGGUAGUUAUUGAUACUGUAAAACCCUCUUGCCAGCCUAGGCAUUGAAAACUAGUUAGGGUCCUGUUACAAGUGCUGUUUCUGCCUCCUGCCCCUCUUUGUACUGUCAGCGGGAGCCAUUCAUAAGCGUCAGCUUCAGUGCGCAUGUACCUCAGGGGCAUGACUACUGCUGUUUUGUUUGUUUGUUUUGAGGAUUUUCCACAGUUUUUUAUUUCAUAAUUUUAAUUUUUUUUUAAAUGUGGCAAUUGCGUUGGCACCUGAAUCUUUAGAAUAUUUUUUUUUCUUUAGAUAGAUUGUUAAAAGUGAAAUUACUGAGCCAGAGGGCACACAUGUUUGAGAGACACCGGAUACUUAUAUUGCCACAUUGCUUUCCAGAACGAUUGCACCAGGGUUAGCCUUGGCAGCAGUGGGUGAGCAGGCCUCCAGCAGCGGGCAGCUCUGGCUGGCUGGCUGGCUGGCUGACCGGGUCCCGCUGCCUGCGUUGGCAUGGGGGACUCCUGUUCGGAAGAGGGGUUGCUCGCCCUUUUCUAGCUUUUCAGAGGCCUUUCCCUGAGCUAGAUUUGUGGAUCUAACCCCCCAUGACUGCUAUCGGUUCACCCUCUGCCUGGGCCUCUCACCUCUCCCGCGGGCAUGAAGGACAGGAGACUGUUGAAGGAGACAGAGUCCCCAUCACAGAGGUAGGCUCUUUGUUGACCACCUGAACCUCUUUUGUUCUUCUUUGUUACUUAUUUAUUUACUUUUUUUUAAAGAUUUAUUUAUUUAUUAUAUGUAAGUACAUUGUAGCUGUCUUCAGACACUCCAGAAGAGGGAGUCAGAUCUCCUUAAGGAUGGUUGUGAGCCACCAUGUGGCUGCUGGGAUUUGAACUCUGGACCUUUGGAAGAGCAGUCGGGUACUCUUACCCACUGAGCCAUCUCACCAGCCCCUAUUUAUUUACUUUUGAGACAAGGUCUCAUUAUGUAGUCUAAACUGACCUCAGACCCAAGCUCCUGCCUUUAUCUACAGAUGUGGGCCACAGUGGCCAGCUUUGGUUUAUGGAUUAUUUUUAUUGUUUUUAUUACUCACUUGUUUUGAAUUUUCGGCCUGAACAAAAUCCAUACAUUAUCAUUGAGGUGCUUCCUCUUCCCCAAUGUGUGCGUAGUGUUGGGGACCAAGUCCAAAGCCUGAAAGUGCACGCCAGGCAAGUGCUCUACCACUGAGCUGCAUUCAGCUCCUGGGAUCACUUAACUUAAAAAAGAGAGGCUUAAAAAUACUUAUUUUAGCCGGGCGUGGUGGCGCAUGCGUUAAUCCCAGCACUCGGGAGGCAGAGGCAGGCAGAUUUCUGAGUUCAAGGCCAGCCUGGUCUACAGAGUGAGUUCCAGGACAGCCAGGGCUACACAGAGAAACCCUGUCUCAAAACACACACACACACACACACGAUUUGUAUAUCUGUGGAGAAUACGGUGAGGUGUCUGACCCCCUCACAGGUAUUUGUGAGCCACUUCAGUGUUGGGAUCCGAACUCUUGUCCUAAUCACCACUGAGACAUCUUCCCAGCCCAGGUACUCUUUAAACCCUGCUGUGGGUUUCCCUGCCUCCUUUUUCCCUUGCAGUAGGUUAAAGAAGGACAUUGACUAAUAUUUGGAUGUAGGGCCAGGGGCUUUUUCUUUGCCCUGGUUGGUUUCCUUCAUUUUUCUUUAAGUACACUAUAGUUCAUUAUGAAUUCCAGGGUUGCCUUGUUUUUGAAACAAAACAGGAACUCAGGCAUUGAUAAAGUGGUGUAAGUUAAGCCCAUGACUUUUAUGUGCCCGCCCGCCCUCCCUCCUUCCAAUUUCUUGCUCACAUCUCACCCAUAUGUAAUUUGACUUUACUUUAAAAACUUUACUGAAUUUGUUUCAAGUUGAAAGCUUAGUUUUUACCAAAGCAUUCUCAUACCCCCCCCUAAUUUUUAUCAUUUUACCUGGUAUUUAAUUAAAUCACAUCACAAUUAGUACAAAUAGGCAUGAAAACAAACAAAAACCUAGGGACAGGUGUGUGACUCGGUGGUAGUGUGUGUGUCUGUCAUGUGUGAGCCCGUGGGUUCCACCCCAGCACUGGAAAGGUGCAGACGGCAGCAGUGUCAGCAAAGUCCCCAAGUGUACGUAGCUGAUGAUGGGGGUGGAGGAUGGGGAGGCUGAGCGGUCGGUGGGGGGUGCAUGGUGGCAGCUGCAUAUUGUGCUUUGCCUGAGAUGGCCUAUAAGCACAUCUGAGGUAGGUGAAGUUGUAAACUAGUGAGCGCCUUUAGAGGAUGUCUUCACGGAUGUGUCUUUAUGAGAUAAUUACUGAACUUCAAAAAUCAACUCAGCAUGCAAAACAAUGGGUUUCAUUAUAACAUUUUUAUACAUACAUGUGCUUUUACUUGAAUUAAUUUAAAAUUGUAAGUACUCUAAAGCUGCUAAGGAGCUUGAAGACAAAAUAUUUUACAGAAGUUUUUAUGAUCCUAUAUACUUUUGGGUGAUAUUUUUGUCCAUUUAUGUUAGAAUUUGCAUGAAUCAAACUGAAUUUGAUAAUGGGCCACGAUGUU
rnacentral:lncRNA from 1 species